AGGAAAUAAAUGUCAGCAACUCAAUAGUCAAAAAGGCAACAAUCACAAUGCUAGAUGACCAAAGCAAUAACUUUCUGAAGACAACAGGUGGGUUUUCUAUCUAUCUGAAGUCACGCUUCAUUUUGGCAUGUCCUUAGAAGAAUAUAGUCUGCCUGGACCCCUGUGUCAUCUCAUGUCAGUUCAGCACUUGGCCCUGGCAGGCAUCUUGCUGUCAUGUACCCUUCCACUUCUAGUAGAUGUGAGUUGUUAC
rnacentral:lncRNA from 1 species